rnacentral:rRNA from 1 species
AUACGGAGGGUCCAAGCGUUAUCCGGAAUCAUUGGGUUUAAAGGGUCCGUAGGCGGGCAAUUAAGUCAGAGGUGAAAUCCCACAGCUCAACUGUAAAAUUGCCAUUGAUACUGGAUUUCUUGAAUUAGUGUGAAGUGGUUAGAAUGUGUAGUGUAGCGGUGAAAUGCAUAGAUAUUACACAGAAUACCAAUUGCGAAGGCAGAUCACUAACACUAUAGUGACGCUAAGGGACGAAAGCGUGGGGAGCGAACAGGAUUAGAUACCCGUGUAGUCC